GGAAGGUUAAGGGACCCGAGCAGGGGGUGUGUGGGUGUGUGUUUCCCAUCUCUCUGCACAGUCUUAGGUUCUGCCUGUUCAUACUGACAUCUGGACCACAAGUUCCGUAGAUAGCGGUCAAGGCCAACUUUAAGGACCUAAAGGCCACUCAGCAGGGGUUUUAGAAAGUGAAGGGGCCGAGUCACAGGCGACUCUUCCCAAGGAGUUUCUUUAAAGCCAACUGGCUAAAUUAGGUAAAGCUUCUGUGUGUCUGCCUCUCUUCUUGCUAGUCUGCUUUGCAAAGAGAAAUAAAUAUAUCUUUGUAUAGAGAAAUAACUACACCACGAAUCAUUCAGUGUUUCCUGUGAAUUGUUUGUAAUAUCCAAAGUGAUAGGGAGUAAUGUCCAUUUUAAAAUAUAUCGCUCACCCUUGUGAAGAAAUGUACCAUUUCUGGGGCUUUUUCGGUAACGAUCUGGCUGAAUAAUUGCUUCAGUAAAUGGGAAUAAGGUGCUCCUGUCAGGUGGUUAUAUAUGCUUUGGAGGGAAAUUUUAAGACUAGGAGGUUGCAGCCAUUCCGAGCUUUGUUGAGUAUUUAACUUUUUAUUAUUAUAUUUUUUUGUGGGUCCAUCAACCAAGAAGAUGGUCAAUUUUAGCGCACACAGCUGUUCAGGAAUAAUAGUUUGAAAGACCAGCCCCAAAGAUCUUGGUGAUUAAAGUGUGAACAGAUGACAGAACGAUAAACCUUAACGUCUAAAAACGUGUUGUUAUUCUUCCCUCCGCCUAUAGUAACAUGGUCUGAUAAAUGCAUCAGGGCUGAACAGGCCGAAGGGAAGAACUUUCCGUGAGGGGAUCCAGAACGCUGUGAAUAGAAAUGUUGGCCCCGGUCCCCCUGCGAGUGAUUGACUGUGUGUAGUGAUCAGCGUUAAAGAGGGGGCACCCAGGAGCCCCCUCAGCGCCAUCCUGAGCACACACUCCCAGUUAGAAAUGCACGUGUCGCAUGGGUAUCGAUCACAGUUAUUCCCCAAACACCCCUCACAAAGUCCCUCCGUGUGCAGGCGCUAUUGAAAUGAAUCCAAAUUCACAACAAGGUCCUUAGAAAGAGCACCUCUUUCAGCAGCUGCCCGACCCCCUCCCCUGGACAUUAAAUCACUGGUACCCUGUGCUGGGUCUGCUGAGAGGCCUGCACCCCCGGGUUCCUGCCUCUUAGAUGAUGGAUGCUCCGUGGCGAUGUCUUACAUGAGGAGGUGCCCUGAGUGUGAAGCGAGCGCGCAUUUGACUGGAAAAUAGUACGUUGGAUUUAAGGCACUGCAGAGACAGAGCCUCACCUGCAGCACGUGCGUGAGGCAUGUUUUCAUUUGUAUUUAAACGAACCCCCAUCAAAGACACUUUUCUGAGACCGUCAGGGAAGUCGGGAUAUGGAAGAGGUAAUAGACGGUAUUAGGAAAGUGGUGUUCAUUUGUGCAGGUCACCCUUUUAAACAGAAUUUGUCUGGUCUUACAGCUGUACACUGGCAUGUUUGCACUUGAGGUGGGGUGGUGCCUGGGGUUUGCUUUAAACGAGUCUGGGAAACAUGGCGGGAGGGUAGCGUAAACACAUCCCGGUUGGGAAAUGUUGAUAAUUCUGGGUCAGCUCUGGGUGUGUUUAACCGGCUUCUCUGUUUUGGGGGUAUGCUGGAAAAUUUCCGUAAUGCAGUAUUAUCUGGAGGUCUCAAGAGACAGACUGCCAGGAAAUGGUGGUUAGAAGUCGCCAGUAUCAGGUUCCAGAGCUUCUAGACAGGACGUAGUGUGCACCAGAAUAGACAGAGAAAUUUCUGGGAACCAGACAAGCAAGUUCUGUCCUUUUGAGGUUAUUAUUAUUUGGUGCCUAUUAUAGGUUGAAUUGUGUCCUCCUGAAUUCAUCUGUCAAAGCCCUCUGCCCCAGGGUCUCAAAUCAUGACUGCGUUUGAAGAUAGGGCCUUUAAAGUGGUGAUUAGGUUAAAAGGAGGCUGUUGGGUGAACCCUAACCCAAUCUGACUGGCCUCCUUACGAGAGGAGAUGAGGAUGCAGCGAGAAGGCGGUGAGGACUCGAGAGAAGGCGGCCGUCUGCAAGGCCAGGACGGAGGCUUCAGAAGAAACCACCUACGCCGAAACCUGGACCUAAGAGUUCUAGCCUCCGGCCCUGUGAGAAGAUGAAUUUGAGUUGUUCACCCAGUGGGAGUAUUUUGUUACGCAGCCCUAGCUGGCCAAUACUCGGAUUCUGAUUUGCAUGUGAGGUGGCAUAAGGGCCUGGGCUGUGGGACCCUGGCUGUGGGCCUGGCUCUCCCUCCACCUGGGAAGGAGGGCUCUGUGUGGGCACCUGUGCACACACCCACUUCGGUGGGACUGUGUUUGUUGGGACGGGGAGGGAAGUGGGAAACAGAAGACACCAUGUCGAUUUCAGGGGACUGCAUGAACCCAGAGCUCUCCCUUGGGGUCCCCCUUCUAAAACAGGGCAUCUCACAUGGUUGUGCACAAUGAAUGAUAGGUUUUCCCUCCUUCGCUUGACCUCCGUGUCCCCUGGGCAGGGCACUGUUCUAGCCUCCUUGUCACAUGAAGGACGAUAAGGAGCCAGCCACUCAGAGAGCCCACGGCAGAGUGUACCAAGCAGCAGAAGCAGUUGUCAGGGCCUCCGGAGCUUGUUUUAGGCACUAAAGAUGGCAGUGGAAUUAGAGCAGAAAAUGUGAAGAGGAAGGUUCAAGGUGAAGCUUGAGAGGGCGGCAGGGGUCCUGUCACACACAGCCUUGCAAGCCGUGGUGAGGGCUUGAGAUUUUAUUCUAGUUGUGGCUUGUUUUAAGCCACAGAGACAUUGCUAUGAUAUGAAACGUGAUAUAUGGUACAACGUGUGUUUGAUGUCAUAUACGAUAGGGCAUCAUAUAUGGUGUAUGUUUGAUACAUAAGCUAUGCCCUCUGAGAUGGCCUGGUACAAUAUAACAUGACUCAUGCCAGUGCCAUGGCCGCAGGGUAGAGCCUGGAUGGUCAUGGAUGAGGAUUGGAGACACGGAGGCCAAUUAGAAGGUUUAUCAAUAAGGAAUGAGUUCAGCUGCAAGUUAAAGGGAUGGUGAGGAAAAUUUGCUUGAACAGAUCGAACCUUUUCUUUUCUGACUCGAUAAGAAGCCCAGAGGGAGGCCCUGCUGGUGCUGGCUCAGCUGGCUCGGCUGCUCGACCCUGGCCAGAGUUCUGGGUCACCAGCCCUGCGAUGCCAGAUCAUUUCCCUGAGGUCUGGGCGGCCACUGCAGCCCUAGACAUCAGCCUCCAGGAGAGAGGACUGGACCAGCUACCUCUGACCCUUUUAUCAGGAAAAUCUGACUUCUCAUAUGUGUGGUGGGCACAGAUUGUGUCACAUGGCCACCUGAGCUGCAGGGAAUGAUGGGAAGGCAUGUGGGAGCCUGCAGGAGAGAAAGCUGCUGGAGGACCAGGUGCCCUUCCUUACUGUGUGGCUUGGUCCCUAUGGCCUGCUGCUCUGGGCAGACUUGUGACCCCCACAAAAGAUGCUUGGGGUAUGCUGAAGUCCUAACCUCUGGUAGCGCAGAAUGUGACCUUAUUAGGAUGCAGGCUUUGUACAGAGAUGCUCAAGUUCAAAUGCAGUUAUCACGGUGGGCGCUGAUCCUCUACGACCAACCACUGUCUUUAUGUAAAGGGGAAAUUUGCAUAUGGAGGCAGACACACACACACACACACACACCAAACACACACACACACACACACAGAGGAAAGACUGGACUGUGCGAAGAGAUUCAGAACGAACAUCACGCGAAGACUGAGGCAGAGGAGGCAGGGAUCAUGUGGCCAAAGCUGAGGAACAUCUGGGGCCGCCCAAAGCCAGAGGAGGUCGAAGGCCCUGCCCUGGAAGCCUUUGGAGGGAGGGCGGCUCUGCCGACCCCUGGGCUUCGCGCGCCUGCCUCCUCUCUGCAGAACGGGUACUUGCUGACCUUCUGAGCCCAUUGGUGGUGCUUCUGUUCCAGCAGCUGUAGCAGCUAACACACUGCAAACUCCUUUUGGCCCUUCAGGACUGGAGUUGUUGAUAGACAGAUGGCACCUCCCAAGUCUGGCAUCCCCCGUGCACCACCCUUUCUAGGUGAGGUCUCCCAUCAGGUCCCUCUGCUCCUCUUCUUGUGGCAGCAUGGUCGAGCCCUGAGACCCCCUUUCAGGAGGUUCCCUUAGAGCCAUGGACCCCAAGGAAGGGAGCCACAGCAGUCCAGGGUCUUUUUGGUCCGUAGGCUCAGUUUACCGAUUACCUGUCCCUCUUCUUGUGUGCACCGUUUCUCUAGCCAGUGUCCUCUGCCUGAUCCCACUGGCUUCAUGAGGAGCCUCUUAGGUUCAUUUCAUGGGUAUAUCAAAGGGUAUAUCCUGCCCCUUGACCACGAUCAGGGUACAGGACCUGCCUUGGGGUUCUCAGCUGUAAAAUGGGGCUGUGACGACACCUCUCCUGGUUGUUGCAAGGACGACAGGAAGUCACCUACAGAAGGGUAAGCAUUUUUUUUUUUCCAUAUUAUGGUCACAGCCAUCAUUACUCGAGCUGCCCAGGCAUUGGCUCCUAGCUCCUUGACAGCAGAGGUCUUCUGUAUAAAUUUAGUCUCUCCCCCAAGUCCUUGUGCUUGGUCCAGACGGUGAUAAUAGUUCAUGUGAUUUUUAAUUUAAGUCAAUUCAGUAGACAUUGCUGAAUUGAGAAACCAUGUGAAUAUAGAGAUAGGAGUUGAUAGUCCACUCUAGGCGACAGCCAGCAUAAAAGUGGUGGUAGUGUAGAACCUGAAAUAAUACAAUUGAAGUAAUAUGCUCCUCUAAUCCUACCUGAUGUUCCAUUGUGUAUGCACGUAUGGCUUUAGAGAGUGUAAGUUCCUUGUCCCUUUCUUUGCCACCGCAUCUGUGAUAGCUUCUGAAUCAUCCUUGGCUUUUGGUAGGUGGUCAGCAGUUGUGCAUUUAAGGCACAAAUUGUUAGAGCGGAGGGUUCAGAGGUGUUGCUGUAAAGGGUGUGACUUGCUCUCUGAUGUUGGACAGGGAAGGUUUCUUGGGGGAAGAGAUAGUUAAAUUGGGUUUUCAUGAGCGAAUAGGAGUUUUCCCCGGACUGAGGAGGGGGCAGGGAGGGCAGAGGGGUCUCCAGACAGAGGUCCAGAAGGGCAGGCCUUCAUUGCUGCCUGGAAGAGUCCAAGCAGAAUUCCUUGGGCUGGGAGUGCAGUGGGCCUGGCGGGGGGCCGUGGCGGACAGUAGCGGCCAGCAUACUUGGAAGGCUCCAUGUGGUUCCUCUCCUUCCGUCGCACCGUCUCUUCCUGUUUAUGUUUCUCUCCCUGUCCUUCCCCCCUCUUUGGUGUUGUGGGGAAGCCGGGUGCUGGUCUGGAACCUGUUCAAAAUGUAGUGGACUCAACACCAAGUGGCUUAUUGUAAAUGGAUCAACUUUUACUGCAGUUACUUUAAUGGCACCUAAAUGAUAAAUCUUAAUAAAAAAGCAUUUUCGCUUUGGAAAGCACAAUGGUAUUAGCUGCCAGACUGCCAACGCCGUUUGCUUUAUGGAAGGGGAUUUGAAAUAAGGGGUUUGGGUGGUUGUAUUUUUGCUUCAACAGUUAUUUAUAGAGAAAGUAUGGGCCAUUGCGUGUUUAUAGUAUCUCUUCUUUAUGGAUGCCCAAGUUAUUAUUUUUUAUUGGUCUGGGUACUUAUUUUGCACAUUUGUAAACAAUUAUGUAGUUACACAGCUGUUGUACCACAGAGGCCAUAUGCAUUUCCAUGUUAAGAGAAAAUUCCAUGAGGGAUUUUCACUGGAUACCGUCAUAAAAGAAUUAUUGUGGUUCAAGAGAGAGAGAGAGGGAGAGAGACUGGCUCAGGAGUUAUCUUUGGGUUUUUACAGUGUUUGGAGUUAAAUAAAUUUGAUGAUUUUUUUUGGGGGGGGGGUUGCCCCAAGGCAUAUGAAAUACCUGGGUCAGGGAUCAGAUCCGAGCUGCCGUCUAAAAUGCAGCUCCAGUGAUGUUGGAUCCUUCACCCACUGUGCUGGGCUGGGGAGCAGACUCACACCCCAGCUCUCUGAAGAUGCCGCCAGUCCCAUCACGCCACAGCAGGAGCUCCAAAUUUGAUGCUGUUUUGCCAACUUGAGCAUUGGAGUGAGACUUUAGAUAGGAAGUUUUCACCUGUUUUCCAGACUUGAAUGAAAAGUAUAAUGUUUGAAUACUUGCCAGAGUGUUAAUUAAUGAAUAAAUGCAUUGGUAAGUUCUGCGUCCCUGUGCCUAAUCUUGAUGGGGAAAUACAUAGCUUAGGAGACUCCCAGUUUUUCUAAGGAAAGGCUUUGAAAAGGAAGUAAUUAUCUGGGUGACAAAUGCUUGUCGAGCCCCUAAUAUAUGCCAAGAAUUGUCCUGCUGAUUCAUAAAGGGAUUCUGAGAGCUGAGUAGAGAGGGAGAUGGGUGGGACGGGUCCAGGAUCUGGGGAAGAUCACAGCGGAGGCUCUUCUGAGAUGAACUGCACUAGAUAGAACUUGACUCAUUCAUUUACUCUCAAAGGUACCAGGCGCUGCAGAAAGCAGUAGUGUCGAGAGGGUAAGUGGAUGAGCAGAGUUCCGGUCCUGCGAACCACGGGGAUUGGUUGAGAGUCUGGUUCUCCCUGUCAGACACGCCUGGUUUCAGAUCCAAUCAUCUCCGAUACAAUCUCUCCAUUUGGUUAUGGUGUAAUCCCUUUCCUCCCAAAGCCCGUUUUCUCAUCUGCACGAGAUGAUGCCCCAUCACAGGGGCGGUCCGUGGGCACAUUGGGUUAAACGCGUGCCUGGCCCCUCGCCGUCAACACCGCGCCAGUGAUCGUGGCGGACGGGUUAUUCCGGAUGUGUCUCCAAUGACCAUCCCUGCUCGUUCAUCCUUGUGAGACCUCUGCUUGCUACAUCUUUCCCUUAGCCCAAGGAAAGAAGGAAAAUUAAAAAAAAAAAAAA
ensembl:lncRNA